CUCUAUCACAGAAGUUGCCAUUACAGGAUCACUAUAAUGAUCCAAUAUUGGGUCCCUGUUUUGUUUUUUUAAAUUACAGGAAUAAAACUAAAUUGAAAUUUGGCGCCAAAAUUAACACUGCUACACAUAGGACACAAGGUCAUGCGUUUGGACUGGAAGAAAGGAGAUUUAGUCUAAGGUAAAGAAAAAUUAAUUUUUUUACCGGAAGAACAAUAAGGAUGUUGAAUUCUCUGCCUUAAGAAGUGGUUUUAUCAGAGUCCAUACAGAUGGUUUAACAGCAAAUAGAUGCAUAUUCAAGGAAAUAAUUUUUCAAUUGUAG